GAUCAGCCACAUCGGGACUGAGACACGGCCCGAACUCCUACGGGAGGCAGCAGUGGGGAAUAUUGGACAAUGGGGGCAACCCUGAUCCAGCCAUGCCGCGUGUGUGAAGAAGGCUUUCGGGUUGUAAAGCACUUUCAGUGAGGAGGAAAACCUUAUGGCUAAUACCCAUGAGGCUUGACGUUACUCACAGAAGAAGCACCGGCUAACUCCGUGCCAGCAGCCGCGGUAAUACGGAGGGUGCAAGCGUUAAUCGGAAUUACUGGGCGUAAAGCGCGCGUAGGUGGUUUGAUAAGCGAGAUGUGAAAGCCCCGGGCUUAACCUGGGAACGGCAUUUCGAA
rnacentral:rRNA from 2 species